rnacentral:rRNA from 1 species
UACGGGGGGGGGCAAGCGUUUGUUCGGAAUUACUGGGCGUAAAGGGCUCGUAGGUGGCCAACUAAGUCAGACGUGAAAUCCCUCAGCUUAACUGGGGAACUGCGUCUGAUACUGGAUGGCUUGAGUUUGGGAGAGGGAUGCGGAAUUCCGGGUGGAGCGGUGAAAUGCGCAGAUAUCGGGAAGAACACCCGUGGCGAAGGCGGCUCUCUGGGACGGUACUGGACGCUGAGACGGCGAAAGCGUGGGGAGCGAACGAGG